GAAAAACAUGCUAAACAGCUUCUGGCGAUCCAGUAUGCAGCCUCGUAUAUUUGAGACUUUGUGACUCGGAAUAUAUGAUUUCCGUGCUCAACAUGUUGAAGAGUUAUGUCAUUCUUCUGAAAGGCAGCAGAAUAUAAAUUAGAAGUCACCUGAAACAAGCGAAUAGAAAUUAUAAUCUGAAAGCUUCAAUACAGCAUGAAGGGUGUAUCAAGGUGGAUAAAAAUUACUAUUAUUUUGGAAGAAUGAAACAUAAUGUUGCCCACAGCAAGAAGAAUUGCCUCAGAAUCCAACCUACGACCAUCUGGAUCAUGUGUCAGGAGGAGCUUCUUUAUAAGAUUAUCACGUUGCAUGUUUGAAAUUAAGAAAAAAAAGGAAC